GACGAACGCUGGCGGCGUGCUUAACACAUGCAAGUCGAACGGUGAAGCGCCUUCCUUUUUGGUGGGUGUGGAUGAGUGGCGAACGGGUGAGUAACACGUGAGUAACCUGCCCCCUUCUUCUGGAUAACCUCAUGAAACUGUGGCUAAUACGGGAUAUUCUGGGUCUGUCGCAUGAUGGGUCUGGGGAAGCUAUUGCUACGGUGGGGGCUGGGCUCGCGGCCUCUCAGCUUGUUGGGGGGGGGCUCGCCUAGCAAGGCGGUGAGGGGUGGCCGGCCUGAGAGGGUGGACGGCAACAGAGGGACUGAGACACCGCGAAGACUCCGACGGGAGGCAGUGGGGAGUAAUAGUGCACGAGGGGCACAAGCCUGAAGCAGCGACGCGUGGGGAGAGAUGGAGGCCGUCGUGUUGUGAACCUCUUUCGCGAGAGAAGCACGCCUGCCUCGUUUGUGGGUGGGUUGACGGUACCUGGAUAAGAAGCGCCGGCUAACUACGUG
rnacentral:rRNA from 1 species